UACGAAGGGGGCUAGCGUUGCUCGGAAUCACUGGGCGUAAAGCGCACGUAGGCGGACUCUUAAGUCGGUGGUGAAAUCCUGGAGCUCAACUCCAGAACUGCCUUCGAUACUGGAGAGCUCGAGUCCGGGAGAGGUGAGUGGAACUGCGAGUGUAGAGGUGAAAUUCGUAGAUAUUCGCAAGAACACCAGUGGCGAAGGCGGCUCACUGGCCCGGUACUGACGCUGAGGUGCGAAGGCGUGGGGAGCAAACAGG
rnacentral:rRNA from 1 species